UCCCUGGUGGUCUAGUGGUUAGGAUUC
rnacentral:piRNA from 12 species